rnacentral:rRNA from 1 species
CCUACGGGUGGCAGCAGUGAGGAAUAUUGGUCAAUGGGCGGGAGCCUGAACCAGCCAAGUCGCGUGAGGGACGACGGUCCUAUGGAUUGUAAACCUCUUUUGUCGGGGAACAAAGGCGCCCACGGGUGGGCGGAUGAGUGUACCCGAAGAAAAAGCAUCGGCUAACUCCGUGCCAGCAGCCGCGGUAAUACGGAGGAUGCGAGCGUUAUCCGGAAUCAUUGGGCGUAAAGAGUUCGUAGGUGGCACGUUAAGUCUGGUGUUAAAGGCGGAAGCUCAACUUCCGUAGGGCACUGGAUACUUGCAAGCUGGAAUGCGGUAGAGGUAAAGGGAAUUCCUGGUGUAGCGGUGAAAUGCUUAGAUAUCAGGAGGAACAUCGGUGGCGUAAGCGCUUUACUGGGCCGUAAUUGACGCUGAGGAACGAAAGCCAGGGUAGCAAAUGGGAUUAGAUACCCUUGUAGUC